GGGUCAGUAGGUUGGUCGUGCCACCGGUACGUACUGGUCUCACUGAUUCCUCCUUCCUGAAGAACCGUAAUGCCGUUAAUUUGGUGUUGCGGGGAAACAGGACUGUUACUUUGAAAAAAUUAGAGUGUUUAAAGCAAGCUAACGCUUGAAUACAUUAGUAUGGAAUAAUGAAAUAGGACGAUCGAUCCUAUUUUGUUGGUUUCUAGGAUUGACGUA
rnacentral:rRNA from 1 species